rnacentral:rRNA from 1 species
UACGGAGGGAGCUAGCGUUGUUCGGAAUUACUGGGCGUAAAGCGCGCGUAGGCGGCUUUGUAAGUUAGAGGUGAAAGCCCGGAGCUCAACUCCGGAACUGCCUUUAAGACUGCAUCGCUUGAAUCCAGGAGAGGUGAGUGGAAUUCCGAGUGUAGAGGUGAAAUUCGUAGAUAUUCGGAAGAACACCAGUGGCGAAGGCGGCUCACUGGACUGGUAUUGACGCUGAGGUGCGAAAAGCGUGGGGGAGCAAACAGG